rnacentral:rRNA from 1 species
UACGGAGGAUCCAAGCGUUAUCCGGAAUCAUUGGGCUUAAAGGGUCCGUAGGCGGUUUAGUAAGUCAGUGGUGAAAGCCCAUCGCUCAACGGUGGAACGGCCAUUGAUACUGCUAGACUUGAAUUAUUAGGAAGUAACUAGAAUAUGUAGUGUAGCGGUGAAAUGCUUAGAGAUUACAUGGAAUACCAAUUGCGAAGGCAGGUUACUGGUAAUGGAUUGACGCUGAUGGACGAAAGCGUGGGUAGCGAACAGG